rnacentral:rRNA from 1 species
GAUGAACGCUGGCGGCGUGCUUAACACAUGCAAGUCGAACGAGAAGUGAAGACGGAAACCUUCGGGCGGAAGGCUUUAUUUCGAGUGGCGGACGGGUGAGUAACGCGUGGGUAACCUGCCUCAUACAGGGGGAUAACAGUUGGAAACGACUGUUAAUACCGCAUAAGACCACAGCACCGCAUGGUGCGGGGGUAAAAACUCCGGUGGUAUGAGAUGGACCCGCGUUCGAUUAGCCAGUUGGCGGGGUAACGGCCCACCAAAGCGACGAUCGAUAGCCGUUCUGAGAGGAUGACCGGCCACAUUGGGACUGAGACACGGCCCAAACUCCUACGGGAGGCAGCAGUGGGGAAUAUUGCACAAUGGGGGAAACCCUGAUGCAGCGACGCCGCGUGAGUGAAGAAGUAUUUCGGUAUGUAAAGCUCUAUCAGCAGGGAAGAAAAUGACGGUACCUGAGUAAGAAGCCCCGGCUAACUACGUG